AUUGAACGCUGGCGGCAGGCCUAACACAUGCAAGUCGAGCGAGCGGCGGACGGGUGAGUAAUGUAUGGGGACUGCCCGAUAGAGGGGGAUAACUACUGGAAACGGUAGCUAAUACCGCAUACUAUCGGAUAACCCAUAUGGGAUUAGCUAGUAGGUGAGGUAAUGGCUCACCUAGGCGACGAUCCCUAGCUGGUCUGAGAGGAUGAUCAGCCACACUGGGACUGAGACACGCCCCUAACCGCUGCGGAGGAAACGAUGUGGAAAAUUGCACAAUGGGCGCAAGCCGGAGACAACCAUGCCGCGAGUAUGAAGAAGGCACUAGGGUUUUAAAAUGCUGUCGGUCGGGAUGCGUUGCCGACAGAAGAAGCACCGGCUAACUCCGUACCAGCAGCCGCGGUAAUAC
rnacentral:rRNA from 1 species